UAUUAUUUUGACUGUAAAUUUGUUUUACUUGAGUAGUAUUAGAUAAGUUCUUAAAACUCAAAGAAUUUGGCGGUAUUUUAGUCUUUUCAGAGGAAUCUGUCCUUUAAUUGACAAUACACAUUUUAUGUUACUUAAUUUUGCAUUUCAGUUUGUAUACCGUCGUCAUAAGAUUAUCUUUUAAGAGAUUAAAUUAUCUGGAUAUUAGGUAAAUAAGAUGACAGAUCAAGGUGCAGCUUAUAAUUAAGUUGAGAUGGAUUACAAUAAAAUUAUUUAUUACGAAUUUUAUGAUUAUAUUUGUAAAUGAAGGUGGAUUUGGGAGUAAUUUUAUUAUAUUAUAAUAUUAUGACUUAAAGCUCUAAAAUGUGUACAAAUCGCCCGUCGCUCUCGUGAUAAAUGAG
rnacentral:rRNA from 1 species